rnacentral:rRNA from 1 species
UACAGAGGGUGCGAGCGUUGUUCGGAAUUAUUGGGCGUAAAGGGCGCGUAGGCGGUGCGGUAAGUCACCUGUGAAAUCCCCGGGCUUAACCUGGGAACUGCAUUUGUGACUGCACGGCUGGAGUGCGGCAGAGGGGGAUGGAAUUCCGCGUGUAGCAGUGAAAUGCGUAGAUAUGUGGAGGAACACCGAUGGCGAAGGCAGCCCCCUGGGUCAACACUGACGCUCAAGCACGAAAGCGUGGGGAGCAAACAGG